UGAGUAACCUGCCCUUAACUCUGGGAUAAGCCUGGGAAACUGGGUCUAAUACCGGAUAUGACUCCUCAUCGCAUGGUGGGGGGUGGAAAGCUUUUUGUGGUUUUGGAUGGACUCGCGGCCUAUCAGCUUGUCGGUGAGGUAAUAGCUCACCAAGGCGAUGACGGGUAGCCGGCCUGAGAGGGUGACCGGCCACACUGGGACUGAGACACGGCCCAGACUCCUACGGGGGGCAG
rnacentral:rRNA from 1 species